rnacentral:rRNA from 1 species
AUUGAACGCUGGCGGCAUGCCUUACACAUGCAAGUCGAACGGUAACGCGGGGCAACCUGGCGACGAGUGGCGAACGGGUGAGUAAUACAUCGGAACGUGCCCAGUAGUGGGGAUAGCCCGGCGAAAGCCGGAUUAAUACCGCAUACGACCUACGGGUGAAAGCGGGGGAUCGCAAGACCUCGCGCUAUUGGAGCGGCCGAUGUCAGAUUAGCUAGUUGGUGGGGUAAAAGCCUACCAAGGCGACGAUCUGUAGCUGGUCUGAGAGGACGACCAGCCACACUGGGACUGAGACACGGCCCAGACUCCUACGGGAGGCAGCAGUGGGGAAUUUUGGACAAUGGGGGCAACCCUGAUCCAGCCAUGCCGCGUGC